AAAGACUCAUGAGAUGCUCAAAGAGUCAGCUCUAUAUUUCCACUGCUGACCUAAAGAAAUCUGAAACCAGAUAAACACUAACAUCAGCUCAAUACUUCAUGUGUCCUUAAGUUUAAAAAGCAACUCAACAGACUCAAACUGAAUUGAUCCCUGCAGGGUGACGGAAUCCAGUGCAAGUGGACAAAUAAAAGUGAGCAGUCAUGGAUUUCUUCAAAGCAGUGGGUGCUGUGGCAUCAGGUGUGGCAGAGGGCACAGUGGGCGUGGUCAGAGCCGUGGUGGAUGUUCCUGUAGGGAUGGUGACAGGAGCCGCUAACAGUAUGAAAGAAGCUGGUAGUAAAAUCACCAGUGCCAGCUCACCAGGUGAAGGUGUUGAUGCUGUGUUCGGUCUGAUCACCUCUCCAGUGACCGGCGCAGUGUCCGGAGGAACAAAAGAGAUCAUCAGAGGGCCUGGAAAAGUUGUGCAGGGCAUUGCAGAUGGCAUUGGUAAAGUUUUAGAUGACUAAUUUGGAGAGAUUUGUUCUAAUAAAUCACUAUAAACAAUUGGCUUUUUUCCACACUUUAUUUCUUUUUAUCCUUUAGUAAUUGCAUUAGCAAGCAUGUUAAACUCUGUAUUUUUCACAAACAUGAUGUUGAAGAUGUGUACUAUACUAGUAAAUGUGAGUUAGGCAGUUAGAAUGUUUGUUGGCACAUAUCUAGACCUUUCUUACUACUUCUUACUUGGGAAUCCAGUGUUAACUUAAACGGAAGCUGGUUGGCACGCAAAACAGCAGCAAAGAUUAAA